rnacentral:misc_RNA from 1 species
GUGAAUCAUCAAAUUUUUGAACGCAAAUUGCACUCCCUGGUAUUCCGGGGAGUAUGCCUGUUUGAGGGUCGUUAGAAGAAAAAUCGAAGCAUCUCUUUUUUUUUUGAGUGUGAUCGCGUCUGAAUUAAUUUGUCUUUAAAUGUUAAUUCAUUUCAGAGUGGCUUAAAAUUUCAUCCAUCCGGUACGAUUAAAGCGUAUUUAAUAUCAAUCUUGAUUAAGAACGCGCGAUGACGUACCAACUAAUGUAGUACGUUUGACUUGGUGUUGUCAGGAUCAUUCG